rnacentral:rRNA from 1 species
GAUGAACGCUGGCGGCGUGCCUAAUACAUGCAAGUCGAACGAACAGACGAGGAGCUUGCUCCUCUGACGUUAGCGGCGGACGGGUGAGUAACACGUGGAUAACCUACCUAUAAGACUGGGAUAACUUCGGGAAACCGGAGCUAAUACCGGAUAAUAUAUUGAACCGCAUGGUUCAAUAGUGAAAGACGGUUUUGCUGUCACUUAUAGAUGGAUCCGCGCCGCAUUAGCUAGUUGGUAAGGUAACGGCUUACCAAGGCAACGAUGCGUAGCCGACCUGAGAGGGUGAUCGGCCACACUGGAACUGAGACACGGUCCAGACUCCUACGGGAGGCAGCAGUAGGGAAUUUUCCGCAAUGGGCGAAAGCUUGACGGAGCAACGCCGCGUGAGUGAUGAAGGUCUUCGGAUCGUAAACCGCUGUUAUUAGGGAAGAAAAAAUGUGUAAGUAACUAUGUACGGCUUGACGGUACCGAAUGAGAAAGCAACGGCUAACUACGUG